GUGCAACGUCGCCAAAGGCGAUCUUUUCCACGUCCAAAACAUUACCCAAUGGGAGGAUCUCAACACCUUCCUGGUUGAACUCGGUUACUACGACACCUACUGGACCGGAGUUGCUGCCGAGGGACACCCCGGUCUGUGGGUUGUUCGGUCGACCGGAUUCGAGUUGAUCCCGGAAGCUGUUGAAUUCAAAGAAGGAUCUCCCAGCAACUCGGCUACCAACUUGUGUUUGGCCAUCGAAUACCAGGCCGAUCUUGGACGCUACCAGUGGGUCGAUUACCCCUGCAGCGACGAGUACGUCAUCGUGUGCGAAUACAGAACUUGCAAUUAAAUAUCUUUUAAAUAUUUCAACGACAACGUGAUGGAAUAAUAACCUCCCCUUUUGUACGCAACUGUUUCUUAUAGAACGAAUGUCCAAGGUGUUUAAAUAAUUCCAAUCGAA